rnacentral:rRNA from 7 species
AGCGUACACGGUGGAUGCCCUGGCAGUCAGAGGCGAUGAAGGACGUGCUAAUCUGCGAUAAGCGUCGGUAAGGUGAUAUGAACCGUUAUAACCGGCGAUUUCCGAAUGGGGAAACCCAGUGUGUUUCGACACACUAUCAUUAACUGAAUCCAUAGGUUAAUGAGGCGAACCGGGGGAACUGAAACAUCUAAGUACCCCGAGGAAAAGAAAUCAACCGAGAUUCCCCCAGUAGCGGCGAGCGAACGGGGAGCAGCCCAGAGCCUGAAUCAGUGUGUGUGUUAGUGGAAGCGUCUGGAAAGGCGCGCGAUACAGGGUGACAGCCCCGUACACAAAAAUGCACAUGCUGUGAGCUCGAUGAGUAGGGCGGGACACGUGGUAUCCUGUCUGAAUAUGGGGGGACCAUCCUCCAAGGCUAAAUACUCCUGACUGACCGAUAGUGAACCAGUACCGUGAGGGAAAGGCGAAAAGAACCCCGGCGAGGGGAGUGAAAAAGAACCUGAAACCGUGUACGUACAAGCAGUGGGAGCACGCUUAGGCGUGUGACUGCGUACCUUUUGUAUAAUGGGUCAGCGACUUAUAUUCUGUAGCAAGGUUAACCGAAUAGGGGAGCCGAAGGGAAACCGAGUCUUAACUGGGCGUUAAGUUGCAGGGUAUAGACCCGAAACCCGGUGAUCUAGCCAUGGGCAGGUUGAAGGUUGGGUAACACUAACUGGAGGACCGAACCGACUAAUGUUGAAAAAUUAGCGGAUGACUUGUGGCUGGGGGUGAAAGGCCAAUCAAACCGGGAGAUAGCUGGUUCUCCCCGAAAGCUAUUUAGGUAGCGCCUCGUGAAUUCAUCUCCGGGGGUAGAGCACUGUUUCGGCAAGGGGGUCAUCCCGACUUACCAACCCGAUGCAAACUGCGAAUACCGGAGAAUGUUAUCACGGGAGACACACGGCGGGUGCUAACGUCCGUCGUGAAGAGGGAAACAACCCAGACCGCCAGCUAAGGUCCCAAAGUCAUGGUUAAGUGGGAAACGAUGUGGGAAGGCCCAGACAGCCAGGAUGUUGGCUUAGAAGCAGCCAUCAUUUAAAGAAAGCGUAAUAGCUCACUGGUCGAGUCGGCCUGCGCGGAAGAUGUAACGGGGCUAAACCAUGCACCGAAGCUGCGGCAGCGACGCUUAUGCGUUGUUGGGUAGGGGAGCGUUCUGUAAGCCUGCGAAGGUGUGCUGUGAGGCAUGCUGGAGGUAUCAGAAGUGCGAAUGCUGACAUAAGUAACGAUAAAGCGGGUGAAAAGCCCGCUCGCCGGAAGACCAAGGGUUCCUGUCCAACGUUAAUCGGGGCAGGGUGAGUCGACCCCUAAGGCGAGGCCGAAAGGCGUAGUCGAUGGGAAACAGGUUAAUAUUCCUGUACUUGGUGUUACUGCGAAGGGGGGACGGAGAAGGCUAUGUUGGCCGGGCGACGGUUGUCCCGGUUUAAGCGUGUAGGCUGGUUUUCCAGGCAAAUCCGGAAAAUCAAGGCUGAGGCGUGAUGACGAGGCACUACGGUGCUGAAGCAACAAAUGCCCUGCUUCCAGGAAAAGCCUCUAAGCAUCAGGUAACAUCAAAUCGUACCCCAAACCGACACAGGUGGUCAGGUAGAGAAUACCAAGGCGCUUGAGAGAACUCGGGUGAAGGAACUAGGCAAAAUGGUGCCGUAACUUCGGGAGAAGGCACGCUGAUAUGUAGGUGAGGUCCCUCGCGGAUGGAGCUGAAAUCAGUCGAAGAUACCAGCUGGCUGCAACUGUUUAUUAAAAACACAGCACUGUGCAAACACGAAAGUGGACGUAUACGGUGUGACGCCUGCCCGGUGCCGGAAGGUUAAUUGAUGGGGUUAGCGCAAGCGAAGCUCUUGAUCGAAGCCCCGGUAAACGGCGGCCGUAACUAUAACGGUCCUAAGGUAGCGAAAUUCCUUGUCGGGUAAGUUCCGACCUGCACGAAUGGCGUAAUGAUGGCCAGGCUGUCUCCACCCGAGACUCAGUGAAAUUGAACUCGCUGUGAAGAUGCAGUGUACCCGCGGCAAGACGGAAAGACCCCGUGAACCUUUACUAUAGCUUGACACUGAACAUUGAGCCUUGAUGUGUAGGAUAGGUGGGAGGCUUUGAAGUGUGGACGCCAGUCUGCAUGGAGCCGACCUUGAAAUACCACCCUUUAAUGUUUGAUGUUCUAACGUUGACCCGUAAUCCGGGUUGCGGACAGUGUCUGGUGGGUAGUUUGACUGGGGCGGUCUCCUCCUAAAGAGUAACGGAGGAGCACGAAGGUUGGCUAAUCCUGGUCGGACAUCAGGAGGUUAGUGCAAUGGCAUAAGCCAGCUUGACUGCGAGCGUGACGGCGCGAGCAGGUGCGAAAGCAGGUCAUAGUGAUCCGGUGGUUCUGAAUGGAAGGGCCAUCGCUCAACGGAUAAAAGGUACUCCGGGGAUAACAGGCUGAUACCGCCCAAGAGUUCAUAUCGACGGCGGUGUUUGGCACCUCGAUGUCGGCUCAUCACAUCCUGGGGCUGAAGUAGGUCCCAAGGGUAUGGCUGUUCGCCAUUUAAAGUGGUACGCGAGCUGGGUUUAGAACGUCGUGAGACAGUUCGGUCCCUAUCUGCCGUGGGCGCUGGAGAACUGAGGGGGGCUGCUCCUAGUACGAGAGGACCGGAGUGGACGCAUCACUGGUGUUCGGGUUGUCAUGCCAAUGGCACUGCCCGGUAGCUAAAUGCGGAAGAGAUAAGUGCUGAAAGCAUCUAAGCACGAAACUUGCCCCGAGAUGAGUUCU